rnacentral:rRNA from 1 species
GAUGAACGCUAGCGACAGGCCUAACACAUGCAAGUCGAGGGGCAGCAUGAAAUUAGCUUGCUAAUUUUGAUGGCGACCGGCGCACGGGUGAGUAACACGUAUGCAACCUGCCUGUAAGCGGGGGAUAACCCGGAGAAAUUCGGACUAAUACCGCAUAAUAUCAUUGAUUCGCAUGUUUCAAUGAUUAAAAAUUUAUUGCUUAUAGAUGGGCAUGCGUAUGAUUAGCUAGUUGGCGGGGUAACGGCCCACCAAGGCGACGAUCAUUAGGGGUUCUGAGAGGAAGGUCCCCCACAUUGGAACUGAGACACGGUCCAAACUCCUACGGGAGGCAGCAGUGAGGAAGAUUGGUCAAUGGACGCGAGUCUGAACCAGCCAUGUCGCGUGAAGGAUGACUGUCCUAUGGAUUGUAAACUUCUUUUAUAUGGGGAUAAGGUGUGAGACUUGUCUCAUUUUGCAUGUACCAUAUGAAUAAGCAUCGGCUAACUCCGUGCCAGCAGCCGCCGUAACAC